GGGUGUGGCAGGGCGGGUCUACGGAGGCCUCUUUAGGCCACAGAGCAACGUAAAGCCUAGGCCUGCAGAGACUGCUCAGUCACAGUUGAAGGAGACCUACUGAGUCCUGAGGACAACCAACAAAGGCCUUAACGGCACAGAAGGAAGUCCUGUCUUCUGGGAUUGAGUUUGGUUGUGACAUCAGAAAGUUGAUAGACGUGAUCGCUAAGAAUCUUGCCGAAUAUUCUAGGACUACAAGUAAAAGAGACCCUAUUUUCUGUGCUGGGAAAAGAAGUCCCACCAGUGUGAUCAGGAAUAAAACACUUCAGGUGCAACGUGAUCAUUAUUCAAAGGUUCUGUGAAGCCAAUUACCCCCUUUGCAAAGUGAAAAGUGCAACUUUGGAUUUUUCUGAUCAGAGUAAUAUAGAGAGGAGCCCACCCUUUUCUUACUAUACAGAGAAGAGUAAAACACAGUCACCUUUACACAGCAUCUGAGUGGACCUAACACAGGGCAGUGAAAGUGAUGCAGAACAAACUUCAAAGCCUCCAGGAGCACACGUGACCUCAGCUCACCCCAGUGUCUCCAGGUCUCCUGCUGCUUUAAC
rnacentral:lncRNA from 1 species